AACGAACGCUGGCGGCGUGCCUAACACAUGCAAGUCGAACGUGAAAGUACUUCGGUAUUAGUAAAGUGGCGCACGGGUGAGUAACACGUAGGUGACCUGCCUUUUAAUGGGGAAUAACCAGAUGAAAAUUUGGCUAAUGCCGCAUACGAAGCACAAAUAUAAUAGUAGUGCUUGAAAGAAUGCCUCUGUAUAUGCAUUCGUUAAAAGAUGGGCCUGCGGAACAUUAGCUAGUUGGUGGGGUAAAGGCCUACCAAGGCAACGAUGUUUAUCCGGUCUGAGAGGAUGAUCGGACACACUGGAACUGAGACACGGUCCAGACUCCUACGGGAGGCAGCAGUGGGGAAUAUUGCGCAAUGGGGGAAACCCUGACGCAGCAACGCCGCGUGAGUGAGGAAGGACUUCGGUCUGUAAAGCUCUGUUAAUGAGGAAAAAUGGUAGUUGAUCUAAUAGGCCGAUUAUUUGAUGGUACUCAUAGAGGAAGCACCGGCUAACUUCGUGCCAGCAGCCGCGGUAA
rnacentral:rRNA from 1 species